GGGCGGCAAGCCUGAUCCAGCCAUGCCGCGUGCAGGAUGAAGGCCUUCGGGUUGUAAACUGCUUUUGUACGGAACGAAAAGACUCUGGUUAAUACCUGGGGUCCAUGACGGUACCGUAAGAAUAAGCACCGGCUAACUACGUGCCAGCAGCCGCGGUAAUACGUAGGGUGCAAGCGUUAAUCGGAAUUACUGGGCGUAAAGCGUGCGCAGGCGGUGAUGUAAGACAGAUGUGAAAUCCCCGGGCUCAACCUGGGAACUGCAUUUGUGACUGCAUCGCUGGAGUACGGCAGAGGGGGAUGGAAUUCCGCGUGUAGCAGUGAAAUGCGUAGAUAUGCGGAGGAACACCGAUGGCGAAGGCAAUCCCCUGGGCCUGUACUGACGCUCAUGCACGAAAGCGUGGGGAGCAAACAGGAUUAGAUACCCUGGUAGUCCACGCCCUAAACGAUGUCAACUGGUUGUUGGGUCUUCACUGACUCAGUAACGAAGCUAACGCGUGAAGUUGACCGCCUGGGGAGU
rnacentral:rRNA from 1 species